rnacentral:rRNA from 1 species
GAUGAACGCUGGCGGCGUGCCUAAUACAUGCAAGUCGAGCGAACAGAUGAGGAGCUUGCUCCUCUGACGUUAGCGGCGGACGGGUGAGUAACACGUGGAUAACCUACCUAUAAGACUGGGAUAACUUCGGGAAACCGGAGCUAAUUCCGGAUAAUAUAUUGAACCGCAUGGUUCAAUAGUGAAAGACGGUUUUGCUGUCACUUGUAGAUGGAUCCGCGCCGCAUUAGCUAGUUGGUAAGGUAAAGGCUUACCAAGGCAACGAUGCGUAGCCGACCUGAGAGGGUGAUCGGCCACACUGGAACUGAGACACGGUCCAGAAUCCUACGGGAGGCAGCAGUAGGGAAUCUUCCGCAAUGGGCGAAAGCCUGACGGAGCAACGCCGCGUGAGUGAUGAAGGUCUUCGGAUCGUAAAACUCUGUUAUUAGGGAAGAACAAAUGUGUAAGUAACUAUGCACGUCUUGACGGUACCUAAGCAGAAAGCCACGGCUAACUACGU